rnacentral:rRNA from 1 species
UGCAAGUCGAACGAUGAAACCGCCCUCGGGCGGACAUGAAGUGGCGAACGGGUGAGUAACACGUGACCAACCUGCCCCUUGCUCCGGGACAACCUUGGGAAACCGAGGCUAAUACCGGAUACUCCUCGCCCCCCUCCUGGGGGCCCGGGAAAGCCCAGACGGCAAGGGAUGGGGUCGCGGCCCAUUAGGUAGUAGGCGGGGUAACGGCCCACCUAGCCCGCGAGGGGUAGCCGGGUUGAGAGACCGACCGGCCACAUUGGGACUGAGAUACGGCCCAGACUCCUACGGGAGGCAGCAUG